rnacentral:rRNA from 3 species
UGGGCGUUAAGUUGCAGGGUAUAGACCCGAAACCCGGUGAUCUAGCCAUGGGCAGGUUGAAGGUUGGGUAACACUAACUGGAGGACCGAACCGACUAAUGUUGAAAAAUUAGCGGAUGACCUGUGGCUGGGGGUGAAAGGCCAAUCAAACCGGGAGAUAGCUGGUUCUCCCCGAAAGCUAUUUAGGUAGCGCCUCGUGAAUUCAUCUCCGGGGGUAGAGCACUGUUUCGGCUAGGGGGCCAUCCCGGCUUACCAACCCGAUGCAAACUGCGAAUACCGGAGAAUGUUAUCACGGGAGACACACGGCGGGUGCUAACGUCCGUCGUGAAGAGGGAAACAACCCAGACCGCCAGCUAAGGUCCCAAAGUCAUGGUUAAGUGGGAAACGAUGUGGGAAGGCCCAGACAGCCAGGAUGUUGGCUUAGAAGCAGCCAUCAUUUAAAGAAAGCGUAAUAGCUCACUGGUCGAGUCGGCCUGCGCGGAAGAUGUAACGGGGCUAAACCAUGCACCGAAGCUGCGGCAGCGACACUGUGUGUUGUUGGGUAGGGGAGCGUUCUGUAAGCCUGUGAAGGUGUGUCGUGAGGC